rnacentral:sRNA from 1 species
CGACGGUGACUGGUCGUGACGAGUCGAG